CCCUCCCCCCCUGCCCAACGGUCACCGAACUUCCCCUCCCCCCUCCCUCAGCUUGAAGGGCUGCGGUGCGGGGUGUGAGACCAGGCGGGAGAGGCUGGCAUGGGGGGAAGGGGAGAGGAGCCGGGGCCGUGUCCAGAGAGGGGGGAUCGGCCAGGCUGCGGGAUGAGGCUCAGGGUGGUGGGAGAGGGAAGGGACUCAUGGGGGAUGGCAAUGAGAGAGGGCCCCGCCCCCACCCCUCACCCCAGGUGGACCAGGGGCAGCCCAAAAGGGCAGGGAGAGAAGGGUCCCACACAGUGCCCAGGACAUGGAAAGGAGGGUCUUGGGAGGCGAGGCGCAGGGAAAGGGGCUGUGACGGAGCACCCCAGGGGAGGCUGGUGAGCCUCAGGGCAGAUCGAGGCAGGAACUGGGUGUCAGUAGGGGCCGACUGCAACUUGCCUUCUUCACUGGCCCCACCCACCCCCGGGGCUGGGGCGCUCAGGCUUUCCCCAGCCCUGCCACUGUUCCAGCUUGCAUCGAUGACAUGACUUUGCAGGGCUCACCAGGGCUGUGAGGGAAGUGGCUGAGAGCUCACAGGGACACCCUCUGCCCCAGAAAGCGAGCCCACAGCUGUGGGGGUAGCUGCUGCAACUGCUGCUGCUGCUGCCGCCGCCGCCGCUGCUGCCGAUGCUGCUGCUGCCAUAGGACAGACCUCACCUGUACCUGCAGCAAAAGCGGUUGCAUCCUCGGUUUCUCAAGACUGAGGGAAACCAGUUUCCACUUUCCCAUGAAGUUUGUUCUACUUGGCUACUUCUUUUCCAGAGGCAACUGCAUCCCACCCACCUUUUCUUCACUAAGACUUAGAAGAUGGGAGCACCAUUUCUCAGCACUAAGCCAUGUUUUCUCCCUUACAACAUAAAUGUAGUUCUGCAAACUUUAGAUCUUUUAAUAAUCUAUUGUGUCUCUCCCUAGAUGCAACUGUAUUCUUUUUAUCAAAGGGGAAACUAACUAAUCCUUUGAACUGUAUGUUUCCCUUCUACCAUUUCCUUCUACCUAGUCUUGCUGAUCUAUAUUUUUAUUAUGGAAUUCAACAUUGUAA